rnacentral:rRNA from 1 species
CUACGUGCCAGCAGCCGCGGUAAUACGGAGGAUGCGAGCGUUAUCCGGAUUUAUUGGGUUUAAAGGGUGCGUAGGCGGCCUGUUAAGUCAGCGGUGAAAUCUAGGAGCUUAACUCCUAAAUUGCCAUUGAUACUGGCGGGCUUGAGUGUAGAUGAGGUAGGCGGAAUGCGUGGUGUAGCGGUGGAAUGCAUAGAUAUCACGAAGAACUCCGAUUGCGAAGGCAGCAUACGGGAGUGUAACUGACGCUUAAGCUCGAAGGUGCGGGUAUCGAACAGGAUUAGAUACCCUGGUAGUCCGCACAGUAAACGAUGGAUGCCCGCUGUUAGCGCCUGGCGUUAGCGGCUAAGCGAAAGCAUUAAGCAUCCCACCUGGGGAGUACGCCGGCAACGGUGAAACUCAAAGGAAUUGACGGGGGCCCGCACAAGCGGAGGAACAUGUGGUUUAAUUCGAUGAUACGCGAGGAACCUUACCCGGGAUUGAA